CAGUGGCUUCAAUCUGUGGAAGAGCGCCUUCAAUUUGCGAUGUGCCUCCCCGCCGGAGCACGGACACGCUCCUCUUAAUGUCAAGCCCGAGCCGCAGCGAC